UUGACAACCUUAGAAACUGAAGUCCUAUAUUGUUCCACAAAACAGGUACAGCCUGGGCACAGCUACUGAGCUUCCUCACCAAAGCACCUCACUCAUGCCCUAGUCACACCCCCAUCCCCCUUCUGAGGAGAGGGGAAGUCAGUUUCCAUGGUGUAGACAGUCCUCGGGUUCU
ensembl:misc_RNA